rnacentral:tRNA from 1 species
GGGGAUAUAGCUCAGUUGGUAGAGUGUUUGCCUUGUGCGCACAAGGCCCUGGGUUCAAUCCCCAGCACCA